rnacentral:tRNA from 1 species
AAGGGAGACCUAAUUCAGGUAUGGGACGAAAAAAAAGUAGUCCCUACCAAGAAUCAAUCCCAAAAGGUCGAAGCGAGGCAAAAUUGGCUUUCAAACUAGGUUCUGGGUUCACACAAGACCUGAAUCAGGAACAAGGGCUAUUAGCUCAGGUGGUUAGAGCGCACCCCUGAUAAGGGUGAGGUCCCUGGUUCGAGUCCAGGAUGGCCCACCUGUACAGGUGGCAAAAACAAAGAAAAGAAGCGAGGAAUCAGCACCUUAUCUUACUUAUAUAGUAAGAGAGAAUGCUGGCUCUGAGUAAAGAGUCCAGAGGAACCUUGAAAACUGCAUAGAGCUAGGUGAAAAAGCCAAAAAAGAAGACCGCAA